rnacentral:rRNA from 1 species
UACGGGGGGAGCAAGCGUUGUUCGGAUUUACUGGGCGUAAAGGGCGCGUAGGCGGCCACCGCAAGUCGGUUGUGAAAUCUCCGGGCUUAACCCGGAAAGGUCAACUGAUACUGUGCGACUAGAGUGCGGAAGGGGCAACUGGAAUUCUCGGUGUAGCGGUGAAAUGCGUAGAUAUCGAGAGGAACACCUGCGGCGAAGGCGGGUUGCUGGGCCGACACUGACGCUGAGGCACGAAAAGCGUGGGGGAGCAAACAGG